rnacentral:rRNA from 1 species
UUGGACCUGAUAUCAGGCAAGACUACCCGCUGAACUUAAGCAUAUCAAUAAACCGGAGGAAAA